rnacentral:rRNA from 1 species
GGGGGGCCUAACAUGACAGUCGAGCGAGCUUGCCUAGAUGAUUUUAGUGCUUGCACUAAAUGAAACUAGAUACAAGCGCGCGGCGGACGGGUGAGUAACACGUGGGUAACCUGCCCAAGAGACUGGGAUAACACCUGGAAACAGAUGCUAGUACCGGAUAACAACACUAGACGCAUGUCUAGAGUUUGAAAGAUGGUUCUGCUAUCACUCUUGGAUGGACCUGCGGUGCAUUAGCUAGUUGGUAAGGUAACGGCUUACCAAGGCAAUGAUGCAUAGCCGAGUUGAGAGACUGAUCGGCCACAUUGGGACUGAGACACGGCCCAAACUCCUACGGGAGGCAGCAGUAGGGAAUCUUCCACAAUGGACGAAAGUCUGAUGGAGCAACGCCGCGUGAGUGAAGAAGGGUUUCGGCUCGUAAAGCUCUGUUGGUAGUGAAGAAAGAUAGAGGUAGUAACUGGCCUUUAUUUGACGGUAAUUACUUAGAAAGUCACGGCUAACUACGUGCCAGCAGCCGCGGUAAUACGUAGGUGGCAAGCGUUGUCCGGAUUUAUUGGGCGUAAAGCGAGUGCAGGCGGUUCAAUAAGUCUGAUGUGAAAGCCUUCGGCUCAACCGGAGAAUUGCAUCAGAAACUGUUGAACUUGAGUGCAGAAGAGGAGAGUGGAACUCCAUGUGUAGCGGUGGAAUGCGUAGAUAUAUGGAAGAACACCAGUGGCGAAGGCGGCUCUCUGGUCUGCAACUGACGCUGAGGCUCGAAAGCAUGGGUAGCGAACAGGAUUAGAUACCCUGGUAGUCCAUGCCGUAAACGAUGAGUGCUAAGUGUUGGGAGGUUUCCGCCUCUCAGUGCUGCAGC